rnacentral:rRNA from 1 species
UACGAAGGGGGCUAGCGUUGCUCGGAAUCACUGGGCGUAAAGGGUGCGUAGGCGGGUCUUUAAGUCAGGGGUGAAAUCCCGGGGCUCAACCUCGGAACUGCCUUUGAUACAGCAAGUCUUGAGUUCGAGAGAGGUGGGUGGAAUUCCUAGUGUAGAGGUGAAAUUCGUAGAUAUUAGGAAGAACACCGGUGGCGAAGGCGGCCCACUGGCUCGAUACUGACGCUGAGGUGCGAAAGCGUGGGGAGCAAACAGG